CGUGUAGGCUGCUCGGAAAGUCGGAUGUGAAAGCCCUGGGCUCAACCUAGGAAGUGCAUUCGAAACUUCCGAGCUGGAGUGCUGGAGAGGAAGGCGGAAUUCUCGGUGUAGAGGUGAAAUUCGUAGAUAUCGAGAGGAACACCGGUGGCGAAGGCGGCCUUCUGGACAGCUACUGACGCUGAGACGCGAAAGCGUGGGGAGCAAACA
rnacentral:rRNA from 1 species